AAAGUUUUAAGUUAAUUAAACUAUUAACCUUCAAAGUUGAAAAUAUGAAUAUCAUAAACUUUA
rnacentral:tRNA from 1 species